rnacentral:tRNA from 1 species
UUCUUAGUAGCUUUUACUUUAAGCUUCAUCAAACUAUUAAAUUCUAAUAAU